UACACUCCUGCGGGAGGCAGCAGUGGGGAAUAUUGGACAAUGGGCGCAAGCCUGAUCCAGCCAUGCCGCGUGAGUGAUGAAGGCCCUAGGGUUGUAAAGCUCUUUCACCGGUGAAGAUAAUGACGGUAACCGGAGAAGAAGCCCCGGCUAACUUCGUGCCAGCAGCCGCGGUAAUACGAAGGGGGCUAGCGUUGUUCGGAUUUACUGGGCGUAAAGCGCACGUAGGCGGACUAUUAAGUCAGGGGUGAAAUCCCGGGGCUCAACCCCGGAACUGCCUUUGAUACUGGUAGUCGUGAGUUCGAGAGAGGUGAGUGGAAUUCCGAGUGUAGAGGUGAAAUUCGUAGAUAUUCGGAGGAACACCAGUGGCGAAGGCGGCUCACUGGCUCGAUACUGACGCUGAGGUGCGAAAGCGUGGGGAGCAAACAGGAUUAGAAACCCUAGUAGUCCCAUG
rnacentral:rRNA from 1 species